rnacentral:rRNA from 1 species
UACCAGACUCCUACGGGAGGCAGCAGUGGGGAAUAUUGGGCAAUGGGCGCAAGCCUGACCCAGCAACGCCGCGUGAAGGAAGAAGGUUUUCGGGUUGUAAACUUCUUUUGUCAGGGACGAAGCAAGUGACGGUACCUGACGAAUAAGCCACGGCUAACUACGUGCCAGCAGCCGCGGUAAUACGUAGGUGGCAAGCGUUAUCCGGAUUUACUGGGUGUAAAGGGCGUGUAGGCGGGGAAGCAAGUCAGAUGUGAAAACCACGGGCUCAACCUGUGGCCUGCAUUUGAAACUGUUUUUCUUGAGUACUGGAGAGGCAGACGGAAUUCCUAGUGUAGCGGUGAAAUGCGUAGAUAUUAGGAGGAACACCAGUGGCGAAGGCGGCCUGCUGGACGACAACUGACGGUGAGGCGCGAAAGCGUGGGGAGCAAACAGGAUUAGAUACCCGGGUAC